rnacentral:lncRNA from 1 species
GAAAGAUGUAAAGAUAUGAAAUUUUGAGAAUUGUAUCUUAAACUUGUAUCAUAAUUUCCAACAUCCAAACCUGAAAAUUGUGACUUAUGGUUAAAAUGCCUUAGGCAUGAGGCUUCUGCUCAGAAUUCCAGUUUGUCUUGCUCCUUUCAGACCUCAGGCAGGAUUUAAGUUAAGAUGCAAAUAGAAGAAGCCUGGACGUCAGUAGGAGACAGAUCUGAGGCCCAAGGGGAAAAAAAAGAGUAAAAGUGUCUUUUUACCUGAAAUCAAACUAGAUUAAACCAAAAAGUAAAUUGUGUGGUAUCUACUAAUAACUGGCCAGUCAUUUUUUUUCUUCUAGGACUUUUGCUUUUUCUUAAUUCUGUUUUUUUUUUGAGCUCAUGAUUUUGAUCCUACAGACAAGUUAAUGUUUUCUGAUCAGUUCUAUUUUUGAUCAGCUGUGGAGUUUUUAAACAUUGCAAUGGAGAUUUCACCUGAGAAAAACUACAAGGCCUUGUGUAUGUGUGCACACUUGUGUUAUGUGUUGUAUGUCUGUAUGUGUGUGUCCAUAUAUCAUGCAAUUAUAUGACAAUUGGUAGAUAUAUGAGGAGCGCUCAUGAAAAAUUAAAAAAUGGAUCCAAAUAUCUUGGAUUCACGUGAUUCAAAUGGUUCAAUUUAAAUUGGGUAAACAGAUAAAAGUAAAGAUGUCUUUAAAAUUAAGCUUAUAAGUUUUUCUAGGUGUUCAAAAAAGGCCCUAAUAAAAUGUUGAUAAAAUGUCUAUGAAGUAAUCUGCUUAAAUUCAGAAAUUUAUAAGUAUUGUUUCAAAAUGUGAACAGAAAAGAAGGUUAACAGAUAAAAAAAAUUAAAAGUUUCUAGGUAUGGAUUUAAUAGAGGGAAAAUGUGUUUCUGGAUAAGAGUCUAUAUGAUUAAGUAAUUAAGAGGGUUUAAGUAAGUGAUAAAGAAGGUCUAUGUAAGUUGGUUAUAUGUGUAAGUUUUUGAGCAAGUAAUCUUAUAGAAAUUAAA